rnacentral:lncRNA from 1 species
AUGGACAGGCUGUAUUCCAGUUGUGCAUGUUCCUUAUUCUGGGAAGUGAGAAGUCCUGCAAAGGCUGUGACCUUCUGCCAGCAGCUUCAGCAGGGACCAUGGGGCAAGUGCUUCCAGACAGCCCCUGCUAUGGCAGCAUGUACCUGUUUCCACUCGUCUUCUCCCCAGACCGAGGUGCACAUGUUCAGAUACUUUAAUGCCAUCAUUAAAUCCUCUAGCAGAGCAGCCUGUAGAGCAUGCAUGCUUAACAGAGACACUGAGCACGUUGGAGGCAUGCUUACCAUCUUACCACCCCUGUGCUCUGUGCACAUCUCUGUGCUGUGCUGGCCGUACCCCCACUACAGGAGGGGACAUAUCAGAGCAAGAAGUGUUCAAUACACAUCCUCAUAUUUGUUCUGUGCUGGUUGUAUAGGGUACAAAAUGCUGGGCUAGGUGAUCAUUUGAUCUGGGUCACUGUGGCAGAUCAUAUUUUAGUGAAGGGGCAAAAUCGGCUCACAAAUUCAAAGCAAAGCUUUAAGUACCCAAAAUGCCUGGGGAUGGUAGGAAGGAUAUCUGUAAGUAUCUAAAAGGGACUGUGUGUAAACUAGUGAAUACUUCCCAGUGACUCCAAGCCUGGGAAGACCUGCAACCAGUGUUUGAGCCACCGUGAUAACUGGAGAGGAUCCGCCCCUGGCAGUGUGCAGCACUCUGCUGACAUCUGGCAGGUCUCUGGUCCUGACGGGAUGAUACAGCUCCCCCAAAACACAGCAUGCGCUGCUUCUGAGCUCCGUCUUCCCUCUCUGAGUUGCUUUGCAUGCUGUCCUUCAUCACAUCUCGCUGUAUACAACAUUAUUCUAUUGUGAAGAAAAAGAGAUGCAGCCGCUCCAGUGGAUGACUGCUUUGUUCAGGGCACGGAUUUUGCUGGGCUUUGGGUUUCUACAGGGAAAUGAAGUGCCUUAUGAGGAGCACCUCACUAAAGGCAGUGAAAAACUGGCUGAAGUGGCCAGGAACCUGAGGGAUUUGUACAGGGACAACUGAGAGGUGGUGCAGUAUUUUUUCCUGUGGCAACAAAAUCCUUGAAUAUUCCUCUUGAAUAUCACACUGCAAUGAAACAGGUGAAGAAGGAAGGGAACAGCGUUUCAAACUGUAAGGAAAGCAGACUAGAAGAUUAUCUAGGAGUCUGUAGUCAAUCCCACUGGUAGAGCUUGCUUGCAGCUCAUGCAGCUGUAUUUACUUUACAGAUCCAAAGCAAGGCGCUGGAAGUGCGAUCUCGCAGCUCUGACCUCUGCCUCCGGCCCAUGCAGAGCUGUCAACAUCAGCUCGUACUGAAGUCAUAAUAACUGGGAUUCCUCAGUCCUCACAGAAUUGCAUAGAAACAGCUUGUCAAAAUUUAAUUCAUUGAAUAUCAUGGCCUUCCUAUUGCAGUUUAACCCUCACCCCUGCAAUAGCACAUCAGCAGGCUCUCCUAGAGAGAGCACACUAUAAAAGAACAGUAUUUUAUGUGCUUGUUUUAUUUCUUUAAGCGUAUACUAUCCAUAUGCUCUAGAUGCUGUGAGGAUAACUCAGAGACAGGAAAAUUUAUGUUCAGACAUAACCAAUAUGCGGCAGUGAAACUCAGACUAAUCCACUACCAGCAAAGCAGAAAACUGAAUAAUUUAAUUCCCUUUUCAUUUCUAACAACUCUACCCUAUAUUUGUAUAUAUGAGACCAGGAAGUACAGGGAAAUCAUCCAGAUACCAGAUUUCAACCCCUUGCUCUUUCCAGAGAAGUGCACCCUGAUGGAUAGGAAGGGAAGAACAAAACAGAUCAAUAUUCAGCGAGCUGAAUGAAUGCUGCCAAAACACAUGGCAUGUCCCACAAGCUUGCAGCCUCCUGAAGGGUUGCAGCUCUCAGUAGGUGCCUGUGCCCCAGCAGCCAGCCCGCUGCAGCUCCAGCCACCGCUGGGCACACGGGGACAAAUUAAAUGAGGUCACUGCAGAAACAAGGUUGGUCUCUGAUAUUUUGUGACCUUGCGGAAAGUUAAACACCAACUCUGGAGAGCAUAGUUGAAGAGGCACAGUGCAGACAGAACUUGAGCUUUAACUCACUUCCCCCUCAAAUUGCCAAGACACGAUGGGAAUGCUCAGCAUGCAGCUGCCCUGCCUUGCAGCUCCCUGGCUGUGCUGGGCUAGCUGGGGUCGGUGCCCUGAGCAGAUGUGGUGGGAUGCAGCAGGAAUGGGCAAAAUCUGCUCCCCUCCUGCACAGGGAAACAGGUGAGAGUGCAACACUGGGUAUCAACUGCUUUCUACAUUAAAAUAAAUAAAUGCGAUAGAAAUAUAAAUACA